AAAGAGGAAAAGCUUUCUUUACAGUCUUGACAUGUACAGUUUUUAUACGCCCGUCGUCUUUUAGACGGGACGUAUUAUGGUAUAUUGUUUCCGUCCGUCCGUCGUCCACACUUCGGACAAUAACUCAAAAAGGCUUUCACCAAUUUCCAUGAAACUUAAGUGAAUUGUUUAUAUCUAUUGACGUAAGCUCCCUUUCGUUUUUUUUUUAAUUUCAGAUUUUAAGUUUUGGAUUUAUGGGGCUUUAUUCAUAAAAAAGGGGGGAUUUUCAACACUUCGGACAAUAACUCAAAAAGGCUUUCACCAA
rnacentral:lncRNA from 1 species